ACUAAAUCAACGGAAACAACACAGAAUACAAGACAAGCAAAUAGUGCUUCAACAACUGACACAAAUGAUGGAAUAUUCUUAACUAUAUAUUCAAUGGGUGCAGGAGGUAUUGCAAUAAUUAUGGCUUUAGCAUCGUGUUGUUUAAAAUACAAACGAAAAGCUGCAAACUUUCCCAAUUCGAGAUUCCCAAGAAUACACAAUAAUAAAGCAGCUGUCGAACGAGAAAAUAUUAGACGGAACAAUGAGAAUGCCAAUGAUUUAGUUGAUGAGAAUACUAUGAUUGAUAAUCGUACGUUGAUACGCAUUGUGACCAGCACUGAACAUGUAAAUCAAGCCGGAAUGAGAUACUCUGCAACCGUCGACAAAGAUUGGAUUAGCGGUUCAUUUUCAUUUUCUGACGAAGAUGUAUCCGAGCCUGCUAAUGAAGGCUUUUCAAACUCGUAUCUUUCAAUGACAGAGGUCGAUAUACAUCCCACAUUACCGAAUGAGACAACACAAAACUUUGAAAAUAUAUCUUCUGGAAAUUCAGGGCCAAUCAUAAAUUCUGCUGUUCAAAUAUACGGCAAUGCCAAUCCGUAUCAACAAGUUAUACCCUUCGGCGACUUCGAUGAAGCAGUAACAAAACACAAGAACAUUGAACAAAGCAUGUCUGACUUCCAGAAAGGAAACGAUGGUUCUCAUUUUGAAGAUACAGAACAAAUUUCAUUUUGCUGAAGAUAUAUAUACCGAUGAAAAGUAAAAUGAGAAGAUGUCAAGAAUCAUGAAGUUCCGUGGUUGAAGAUUGCUAUAUGAAAACUAUACGAUUAGUACCUUAUCUUCUAUAAGCAGUAUUACUGACUAAAACAAUACCAUAUCUUGCAGAGCCAUCUAGUUUAUUUAUAGAUGAGAAAUGUUGCUUCUUCUCCUCCUGUUCGAUCGAUCGGUGUGUACAUGUGUCAUUGCAGAAAAUACGUUUCAGGCUAUUAUAUAGUUUUAAAUGCAUUGGAACUUUAUUGUAUGCUUUAUUUAUACUUUAAUUUGUGUUAUUUUGUCUGUUUUUGUACAAUUGUAUUGCUACCUUGUGGUGCAAAUCUGCUUUACAUAAUGGUGAGACACAUGUUUUUGUCUACAAAUGUAUGUUGGUUUUAUGUUGGUGUAUUCAUUACAUCAAAAAUACAAAAUUCCUGAACAUAUCGAGCUAGAAAAAAUGCUUUAUGUCUAUUUCACUAGAACUGGUAUGGAUGAACAGUUGUACCAUAGAAUAGCUUUUGAUGUUUUACCUUAGACCAGAUUCUAUCUAAACACCUUUUGAUAUAUCUAUUUAUUUUUAGUUUUUGUUUUUGAUUUUUUGCAUGUAUGACCGUAUUUGUAAAUACAUUUUUUUU